GACGAGGGGGCUAGCGUUGUUCGGAAUUACUGGGCGUAAAGCGCGUGUAGGCGGUUGUUCAAGUCAGGUGUGAAAGCCUUGAGCUCAACUCAAGAAAUGCACUUGAUACUGGAUGACUAGAGGACCGGAGAGGAUAGUGGAAUUCCAGUGAUAGUGGUGAAAUACGUAGAGAUCAGGAGGAACACCCAUGGCGAAGGCCAGCACUCGUGGACCGGACCUGACGCUGAGACGCGAAAGCGUGGGGAGCAACGGG
rnacentral:rRNA from 1 species